rnacentral:rRNA from 1 species
CCCGUUCCGAACUCAGAAGUUAAGCUCCCAAGCGCCGAUGGUACUGCGGCGGCGACGCCGUGGGAGAGUAGGUUGCUGCCGGGC